UCUCAUACUCAUAGUUUGAUCUCUUUCUGCCUAGCUCUCAUGUCUGUCUCUGGAUUGUUUCAAAUCCUAAGAGAAAAGGAAUAUCAUUUAUUGCCUCUUGCAAAGUAAAUACUCCUCUAUUUAACUGACGGGAUGAACCAAUGAUGUCAUUUAACAGUUUGUUUGUUGGUGAUCUCUACUGCUGAAAUCUCAUUAACAUACACAUUUACUCCUUUGAUCUUCACGAUAAUCCCAUGGAAUUGGCAAGUAAAAGGCAUUAUUGACAUUUUACAGACUGUGAACAAGAUGCCACCCCCAAAUGAUGUAGUCAAUGGUUCCCAAUGGUGAUGAAUUAGUAGUAUUCAAGAUCCACGCAUUGCUCAAGAUAUUUG
rnacentral:lncRNA from 1 species